rnacentral:rRNA from 1 species
AGUGAACGCUGGCGGUAGGCCUAACACAUGCAAGUCGAACGGCAGCACAGUAAGAGCUUGCUCUUACGGGUGGCGAGUGGCGGACGGGUGAGGAAUACAUCGGAAUCUACUUUUUCGUGGGGGAUAACGUAGGGAAACUUACGCUAAUACCGCAUACGACCUACGGGUGAAAGCAGGGGAUCUUCGGACCUUGCGCGAUUGAAUGAGCCGAUGUCGGAUUAGCUAGUUGGCGGGGUAAAGGCCCACCAAGGCGACGAUCCGUAGCUGGUCUGAGAGGAUGAUCAGCCACACUGGAACUGAGACACGGUCCAGACUCCUACGGGAGGCAGCAGUGGGGAAUAUUGGACGAUGGGCGCAAGCCUGAUCCAGCCAUACCGCGUGGGUGAAGAAGGACUUCGGGUUGUAAAGCCCUUUUGUUGGGAAAGAAAAGCAGCAGGUUAAUACCCCGCUGUUCUGACGGUACCCAAAGAAUAAGCACCGGCUAACUUCGUG